rnacentral:rRNA from 1 species
AUUGAACGCUGGCGGCAUGCCUUACACAUGCAGGUCGAACGGCAGCGGGGGAGAAGCUUGCUUUUCCUGCCGGCGAGUGGCGAACGGGUGAGUAAUACAUCGGAACGUGCCCUGUAGUGGGGGAUAACUAGUCGAAAGAUUAGCUAAUACCGCAUACGACCUGAGGGUGAAAGUGGGGGACCGCAAGGCCUCAUGCUAUAGGAGCGGCCGAUGUCUGAUUAGCUAGUUGGUGGGGUAAAGGCCUACCAAGGCGACGAUCAGUAGCUGGUCUGAGAGGACGAUCGGCCACACUGGGACUGAGACACGGCCCAGAUUCCUACGGGAGGCAGCAGUGGGGAAUUUUGGACAAUGGGCGAAAGCCUGAUCCAGCAAUGCCGCGUGUGUGAAGAAGGCCUUCGGGUUGUAAAGCACUUUUGUCCGGAAAGAAAUGGCUCUGGUUAAUACCUGGGGUCGAUGACGGUACCGGAAGAAUAAGGACCGGCUAACUACGUGCCAGCCGCCGCAGUAA